CUUUAUUACAGACAUGCGCCUUCUGGGGAUCCGAAUCCCAAUCAGAGAACCAACGUGGGAGGACAACGAUGCCUACGCAUCUCUACUGGAGAGGCACGGGAGCUGCGAUGCCAGCCACUGCCUUUACCCACACGGCAGGGAGCAGGCAGAGGGAGAGGGGCCCUGGCAGCUGCUCCUCUGCAGCUCCUGUGCUGCACAAGGCACUCACCGGCGCUGUUCCAACUUGAGUCACAGCGCAGCCAGC